GACGAACGCUGGCGGCGUGCUUAACACAUGCAAGUCGAACGAUGAAGCCGGAGCUUGCUCUGGUGAAUUAGUGGCGAACGGGUGAGUAACACGUGAGUAACCUGCCCUUGACUCUGGGAUAACUGCUAGAAAUGGUAGCUAAUACCGGAUACGACCCUCGGAGGCAUCUCCAGGGGGUGGAAAGAAUUUCGGUCAAGGAUGGACUCGCGGCCUAUCAGCUAGUUGGUGAGGUACCGGCUCACCAAGGCGACGACGGGUAGCCGGCCUGAGAGGGUGACCGGCCACACUGGGACCGAGACACGGCCCAGACUCCUACGGGAGGCAGCAGUGGGGAAUAUUGCACAAUGGGCGCAAGCCUGAUGCAGCAACGCCGCGUGAGGGAUGACGGCCUUCGGGUUGUAAACCUCUUUUAGUAGGGAAGAAGCGAAAGUGACGGUACCUGCAGAAAAAGCACCGGCUAACUACGUGCCAGCCGCCGCAGUAA
rnacentral:rRNA from 1 species